AGCUUUGUACAGUGGCAGUAUCAUAGCCAAUGAGGUUUAUCCGAGGUGCAGUUAUUGCUGAUUGAAAACGUUUCCCAAUACCCCGCCAUCAUGACUUGCAAUAUAGUCGGCAUUGGCAAUUUUUGACAGUUUCUACGGAAA
ensembl:snRNA LOC120098028 U4 spliceosomal RNA